rnacentral:tRNA from 1 species
GGGGCUGUGGCUCAGCGAUAGAGCACCUUCUUUGCAUGCAGAAGGUCCCAGGUUCGAUUCCCAGCAUCUCCA